UCUACAUCGUUGAAGAGAUGGGUUUCAAAUCCAGGUCGGCUUGGCCCUUGCCACGACUUCAUAAUGAAAUUCCAUGGAUGCAAACAGAAGUUUAUUUGGGAUUCUGGACGAGUGGAGAGGAGGAAUUACUUGUAUGGCUUUGCCCAUUUGAGGAUUCAACAUCUUGGUAACACUCAGUUUUUAUGUAUAUUUUUUAAAUGCUGGAAUUUUAUGAAAAUAACAGAAGACUUAUUUGAGUAUAACUGAACCCCCAUUAGAAGAUGAGAUCUCUAUAUGUUUUACUAUAUCACUAACUGCAGUAUAAAGAAUAUAUACUCAUAGUAUCAUGUUUGAGUUCCAUUGCCUCUGCUAUGAUUUGACUGUCCUCUCCAAAACCCAUGUUGAAAUUUAAUUACCAAUGUAACAGUAUUGGGAGAUGGGGCCUUUAAGAGGUGAUUAGGUCAUGAGGGUGGAGCCUUCAUAAAGGUGUUAAUUUUUAUGGAAGUGGAUUAGUUAUCCCAGGACUGAGUUUCUUUUAUCAGGAACCCUCUCCUGGGAUAACUAACCCACUUUGACCCCAUUUCUCUCUCUGUCUCACAUACUUCUUUGCCUUUCCACCAUGUUAUAAUGCAGUAAAAAAGCCCUCACCAAAUGCAGCCUCUGGAUCUUGGACUUUCCAGCCUCCAGAACUGUCGGCCAAAGAAAUUGCUGUUCUUUAAAAAUAACUCAGUUUGUGGUCUUCUGUAAUAGCAGAGGAAAAUUGUCUAAGACAGCCUCCUUCCCAGAAACUGCAAAAAUCCUAAGCAAAAGUUCCAGGCAUGGAAGUAGGCAUAACCAAGUGAAUUUCCUUCAGUGUGGUCUGGCCUGGAUAUGCUAUCUUCUUACAUUAUAUGGGUUCUAAUGAGCUUCUUCUCAGCAUCAUUCUGUGAUGUAACAGUCCUCAUAGCAUGGCUGCCUUACCAUGACUGGCAGAAAAUUUUUAUUCUCUUGAUUAGUAACCACUCGAAGUUACAUUUCUUAAUGCAGAGGCUUUAUUGACUAUUUUUUAGAGCAGUUAUUCAAACAUGCUCUGCUAAAUCCAAAUGCUGUUGCUCAUUGCCUUGGGAAUGGCUUCUCUCUGUUUGACCUAGUUUUCCAUUCCUAUAUUUCUCUAACUGGAAGUCACUUUAUUUCAUCUAUUCUGCAUCAGUGAAAUAACAUUUAACAUUCCACUCUUUCAGGAUAGAAAGG
rnacentral:lncRNA from 10 species